GAACACCGUGACGUGUCAAGCAAACGGUAAUGAGUGUGACCCGAAUGAACAUACUGAAUGUGACACAGUUAAGGGAAAGUGUAAAUGUGCAGCUGGUUUUACAAUGAAUGUCGACGUCUGUACGGCUAAAAACACAGGUGCUACCAUUACGAUGAAACUCGGCCUAUUUGCCAUACCGGUGGUCCUUGCACCCUGAGGCAGUCAAAAAUCUCAGAUAAGACGAUCGUCAAAAGCUGAUGAAACGAUUCUUCAGAACCGGAAGUAUAUAUAUUAUAUGAUUUACUUUUUUCCUUAUGACAUUCGGAGUUAUUUUAGUGCUUUUUGAAAAGUGUGUAACAUAAACCGUUUGUUUCUCAAAUCUAUGCUUUUCUGUGAUGUAAAGAACUUGUUACUUACGUGAUUUGUGCGAAAUGCAAGUAGAUAUAUGAAAAUACAGAAAGCAUGAAUAUAUUUAAUAAGUUGAUAAACUGACAAUCUGUUUACAAAAAAAAAAAGAAUUUAUAUAUACUGGCAUUUAUCUAUUCAUUUUUUAAAAAGAAUUAUUGAUAUUUUUUAGUUGUUUUUUCUUUUUGUUAAAAACAGUGGUUAUUGAAUAUGCCUUUGAUUUAUUAUCAAAUGUUCGAUUGUUUGGACUGAAUUAACUGUGUAAAACGACAUAAAAUAAUUUUCGAUUUCACUUUCCAUGAGUGAAAGCAAGGGAACUUCUAAUAUAACAAAUUCGAAAAUAGCAAAUGUUAUGUUAUGUACUGAAAACUAAACUAUUGCAAAAGAAGAAGAACAACAAAAUUAACAAACAAUUUAAUUAACAAACAAAAAUACAGAUUUUUGAUUUAAUCAAUUACAUACCCGUGGAAGUUUUAUCAAUGACAAUUUUCAAUUAUGUAAAUUAUAAAUAAAAACAGAUACUUACAUCUAAACCAGGACAGCAUGAAUCAAACGGAGGACUCAAUGCUACUGAGCAUGCAUGCAUUGACUGAAAUAAGGAUUCGACUACAGUUUCAAUAAUUAAAUUUGGACCCUAAAACUAUGCUAAACUGCACUGUAUAAAUAUCGAAUAAUCUGUAAGUUUAAGUGAGAAAGUGAGAGAUAGGUGAGUGAGUGAGUGAGUUACGUGCCGAAUCCUAUUAAUUUUUUGCCGAAUCGUAUUUGUAUAUGUAAAUAUUUGUAUAUCCAAAGUUAUACAUAGCAAUGUGUGUUUGUGGUAAGUUUAAAAGCAAACAACCGAUUACAUACCUAAUUGUCUAAUCAUCUUUUGUCAUUCAAAGCAACUUAUGUAAACAAAAUAUAGUAUAGUUUCAAUUUAUAUCUUAGAAAUGUUGUAAUAUUGU